ACUACGGGCGGCAGCAGUGGGGGAUAUUGGACAAUGGGGGGAACCCUGAUCCAGCGACGCCGCGUGAGUGAAGAAGUAUUUCGGUAUGUAAAGCUCUGUCAGCAGGGAAGAAAGAAAUGACGGUACCUGACCAAGAAGCCCCGGCUAACUACGUGCCAGCAGCCGCGGUAAUACGUAGGGGGCAAGCGUUAUCCGGAAUUACUGGGUGUAAAGGGAGCGUAGACGGUUAAGUAAGUCUGGAGUGAAAGGCCGGGGCCCAACCCCGGGACUGCUCUGGAAACUAUUGAACUUGAGUGCAGGAGAGGUAAGCGGAAUUCCUAGUGUAGCGGUGAAAUGCGUAGAUAUUAGGAGGAACACCAGUGGCGAAGGCGGCUUACUGGACUGUAACUGACGUUGAGGCUCGAAAGCGUGGGGAGCAAACAGGAUUAGAUACCCUUGUAGUC
rnacentral:rRNA from 1 species